rnacentral:rRNA from 1 species
GUGUCAGCAGCCGCGGUAAUACGUAGGGGGCAAGCGUUAUCCGGAAUUACUGGGCGUAAAGGGUGCGUAGGUGGCCUGACAAGUCAGGGGUCAAAGGCAACGGCUCAACCGUUGUAAGCCCUUGAAACUGUCGGGCUUGAGUUCAGGAGAGGAAGGCGGAAUUCCAAGUGUAGCGGUGAAAUGCGUAGAUAUUAGGAGGAACACCAGUGGCGAAGGCAGCUACUUGGGCCAACACUGACGCUGAGGCGCGAAAGCGUGGGGAGCAAACAGGAUUAGAUACCCUGGUAGUCCACGCCGUAAACGAUGGAUACUAGGUGUGGGAGGUAUUGACCCCUUCCGUGCCGGAGUUAACACAAUAAGUAUCCCACCUGGGGAGUACGGCCGCAAGGUUGAA